CAGGCCAGAGGACGCGGGCUGGGGCGGGAGCCUCGGCAGCCUGGUGGGAGCUGGUGCCCACUGCAGGGGACAGCGUCUGCUAUGUUGUCCAGGCUGGUCUCAAAUUCCUUGCCUCAAGCGAUCCAACUGCCUCAGCCUCCCGAGUCACUGGGAUUACAGGCAUGAAGACAUUGUUUUCAAGGGAUCACUCUGCUUUGUGGAGACUAGACUGUGAGGAGCAAGCCUCGAAAGGGGAGAGCUGUUUCGAGGUUCUCCACUGCAGCCUGCUCCACAGCCACGCCCUCCCAUCCAUGGCUACACACUCACAUUCUGGGCCUCUUCCCUGGACCAGAUUGCACAGCAGGGCCGCUCUCUCCAGUGCCUCCAGCUGGCCCCUGCUGACAAGUCCGUGUUGUGUCAUGUUGGGAGUCUGGGCAAGGCACGAGGGCCCCUCUCUAGCAGGUCCCGAUGGCUCCUCCACACCUUCAGGAAAAGCAAGAGAUAAACCAUUGCAUGCUGAGCUCUGCAGGGAACUGGAGGCGGACACCAUCCAUUCUGCAAACCUGCAAUGGUGACACUUCUGGAAUCUCCUUGCCUCUUCCAGGGCUGCAGCCUCUAAGGCAGUGGGCAAUGUCAAGUGAGAGACUCCACAGAUAAGAAAAAUAAAGGAGUGGCUCAAUUACAUGCCAGGGAAAACCGCUUUGGUGGAUGAAGGUCACACAGCUCUCCCAGCAUUCUGUCCUCUGUAUACAGAUGAUCUCCUUCUGAAAUCCUUUUGGGGAUGACCCCCUUCCACACCAUGGACACUUCUGGGUGGGUUGUCACUCAAGAGGUCCUGCCCUCUUCUGCCCACUGGGUGGACACAAGAAUUGAAAUCUGUAAAGGAUACUGAGAUUGGGAACAAAAUAAUUGAUGCUGAUUGAUCCCAGCAGUGUAUGGCGAGAAGAUGACAAGCUUCCACUGCCUGUAUCACUGACUUGCCUAAUGUCUGCCCUGCCCUGGCCUGGAUCUUAACCGCGCCCUUCAUUCUGUGAACUACCCCCAAAUCCUUCAAAUAAAGUCCUUGAUUGCUUGUUAGAGUCAAUAAUAUUGCUUGCUGAGGAUCCAGAGACCUCUAGAGAGAGGAGGUGGAAUUGCACACCCUGGGAAAGAGGAAGGUGUGAGUUACCAUCCCUGGGGGAGGCCCCACAGGUGUCAGCCCUCAGGGGGCAGGGGACUGACAGGGGACAGAGC
rnacentral:lncRNA from 10 species